AGCCAGGCCUUGCUCUGGUCCAGUCUGUGGCGAAAAGGAGGACUGGGACAUCCCCGUGGAUGAGGAAAGGUUUUCCUGUUGGCACCCAGCAGAGAGACACCACAUGGUUUGUCAUCAGGAUUCAGCGAGAGGUGUCUUUGCUGGAGAUUCUCAUGGGAGUAACUUAAAGAAUCAGACCCUCAGUUUACAAAUUUUCCCAGGGAGGAGGAGAGGAGCAACACCUCAUCCCACUCUCUGGUGACUCCCAGCCUCUCUCUUCAAUCUCCCUCUCGCUCCUGGCCUGGCCUCUCCGUGCAGAUCCAGAGGUCUGGAUGUUACCAUCUGUUUUGAGUAGAAAAAGCUGCCAUUUUUUUUAAAAAGGUUGCAGAGUGAACAGGUUGGACCAGUUGCUGCCAGGGUGGAGUUCUAACUGUUUGUUAUUGUAAUCACUGGUCAUUUUUGUAAACUACCUGUCACUGAUGGUUAAGAACCACCAUCCAGGAGGAUGACCCUUCUCGGACAGUGAAAGGAGGGGACAUCGGAGGGCGUGCAAAUGACCUCGGAGCCAGCAUGCCAUGGGAAAGCCACCCCACCAAACUCACCAAAAGACCCCAAAAGCAACGAGCCAACAC
ensembl:lncRNA